rnacentral:lncRNA from 10 species
AUACUAAGAAGCUGAAUAAUCUGCUAUCUAGACACUGAUCCUAUCUUUGGGUAAGGGGUCACAGAAACCUUGUAAGUUAAAAAAAAAGUGUUAAAAAAAAAAACGCCAGAAAAGGAGAUAUAACACAUUUUCUUAGAAAUCCUUUCUGGAAUCCAAAAUCUUUUCCUAUAUGAGUUGAAAAUAUUAUCUAUUAAAAGGGCAAUUUAUGUGUAGAGCAUCGAAUAGAAUUAUAUUGAUAUAUGUAGGUAAGAAUAUUUUUAUUCUUCAUAAAAUACUGAUAUUUUUGUAAUUGAAUGCUAAUAAUAGAGAUAGUAACUACAGAAUUGGAUCCCAUCAUUUAUUGGUGGUGACUGGGGCUAAUGGCUACUUUGGAAUGCAGAGAAUAUUUAUUCAAUGUUGAUUGAAUAGACAUUAAAACAGAAACAUUUUUAAUUGAUCAAUAUUGCUUAUAUGCCUCAAUUUUCUCAAAUGUUUUAUUGUAUUCUUCCAAACAGAUAGUACUCAAAAUUCCUAUGAAGCAUUUUUUUUCAUUUAAGAAAGGAGAAAAAAGAAAGGGGCUGAUUAACACAAAAUUCAGAAUAAUCUUAUCUAUGCAGGAAAAGAGGGAAGAGGGAUGGACUGAAGAGGGGUUCAAGGUUCCAAAGAUACUGGUUAGCGUUUCAUUUCUUAAGUUGGAUACGAGAUACACAGAUGUCCACCUUAUUUAUUUACUUACUCGUGUUUUUGCAUGUAAGCUACAAAUGUUAUUUUGUGUCUGUUUAAUAUCUGAU